rnacentral:rRNA from 1 species
AGUUUGAUCAUGGCUCAGAUUGAACGCUGGCGGCAGGCUUAACACAUGCAAGUCGAGCGGGGAAAGGUAGCUUGCUACCUAACCUAGCGGCGGACGGGUGAGUAAUGCUUAGGAAUCUGCCUAUUAGUGGGGGACAACAUUCCGAAAGGAAUGCUAAUACCGCAUACGCCCUACGGGGGAAAGCAGGGGAUCUUCGGACCUUGCGCUAAUAGAUGAGCCUAAGUCAGAUUAGCUAGUUGGUGGGAUAAAGGCCUACCAAGGCGACGAUCUGUAGCGGGUCUGAGAGGAUGAUCCGCCACACUGGGACUGAGACACGGCCCAGACUCCUACGGGAGGCAGCAGUGGGGAAUAUUGGACAAUGGGCGCAAGCCUGAUCCAGCCAUGCCGCGUGUGUGAAGAAGGCCUUUUGGUUGUAAAGCACUUUAAGCGAGGAGGAGGCUACCUGGAUUAAUACUCUGGGAUAGUGGACGUUACUCGCAGAAUAAGCACCGGCUAACUCUGUGCCAGCAGCCGCGGUAAUACAGAGGGUGCGAGCGUUAAUCGGAUUUACUGGGCGUAAAGCGUGCGUAGGCGGCUUUUUAAGUCGGAUGUGAAAUCCCUGAGCUUAACUUAGGAAUUGCAUUCGAUACUGGGAAGCUAGAGUAUGGGAGAGGAUGGUAGAAUUCCAGUGUAGCGGUGAAAUGCGUAGAGAUCUGGAGGAAUACCGAUGGCGAAGGCAGCCAUCUGGGCCUAAUACUGACGCUGAGGUACGAAAGCAUGGGGAGCAAACAGGAUUAGAUACCCUGGUAGUCCAUGCCGUAAACGAUGUCUACUAGCCGUUGGGGC